GGAAGGAACACCUUGAUCUCCCAUGGUUUUCAUUAGUUCAAUGGAAAAAUAGUUUAAGGGGGAAUAUGUCAAAUAUACAAAUAGAAUGGAAACAAAAGCCUCUUCUUAGUCCUCGUAAAGAACUAACCUGUACAACAGAACAAUGAAUUUCACGGGACAAAUAUACUAUAGACAAACCAUGUUUAAAAGCCCUCAAAAUACAAGAUGCAUAAGUUGCAUUUCCUGCAUAACAAAAUGGCGCCCCUAUACCUUGGGCUUCCAUAAUACUGAUCCUAUAAAAAAGAUCAGCUUACCUAUUUUUCAGCACCUAAUCUCAUAAGAACCAG
rnacentral:misc_RNA from 1 species